GCCGGGUAAAACUUGCGCAGGUUGUUCAGCAGCCGCUGGAUGACUUCGGCGUUGUCCAUCACGCCGCCCAGCACCAUGAACAUCGCUUCGAGCACGUUGCGCGCAUGGGCGCACACCGCGGCGCGCUCGAUGCGUUUCUUUUCGAAAUAGCGGUCCAUCGCCAGGUAGAGCAGCCCCUCCUUGUCGCCGAACAAUUCGUAGAGCGUCCGUUUCGAGACCCCCAGCUGCUGCGCGAUGUCGUCCAUUCGUACCGACUUGAUGCCCUGCGAGACGAACAUGUGCAUCGCCUGUUCUAUGAUUCGUUCCUUCUGAUCCAUGAUCCAAUCCGAUUGAUACGGAUGCAAAUAUACGCGCCAAAACUUAUAAAACAAAAAAAGUUUUGGAUGGAAAGCAGGCGAAAGAUUCCUGCACCCGUAUAUGGAGCGAAGGAGUGACGGAGACGGAUAGUGUGACCCUCUUAAUGGAUUGAGGGCGAAGCGAAGCGGCUGGUUACCAGGCAAAUCCGGUAACCUUAAGGCUAGAGCGUGACAGGUAAGCGAAAUCUAAGGAAAGUAGCGAAGCACAUGAUGACGGCUUCCAGGAAAAGCUUCUGGCAAUGCAUAUGCGGCCCGUACCAAAACCGACACAGGUGGGCAGGGAGAGAAUCCCGAGGUGAGCGAGAGAACUGUUGCCAAGGAACUCGGCAAAAUGACUCCGUAAGUUAGCGAGAAGGAGUGCUUAAGCAAUUAAGCCGCAGUGAAGAGGCCCAAGCGACUGUUUAACUAAAACACAGCUCUCUGCGAAGUCGCAAGACGAAGUAUAGGGGGUGACACCUGCCCGGUGCUGGAAGGUUAAGAGGAUCUGUUAAGAGCGAUCUGAAGCAGUGAUCCGAAGCCCCAGUGAACGGCGGCCGUAACUAUAACGGUCCUAAGGUAGCGAAAUUCCUUGUCAGGUAAGUUCUGACCCGCACGAAAGGCGUAACGAUUUGGGCGCUGUCUCGGCAGCAGACUCGGUGAAAUCUUAGUACCUGUGAAAAUGCAGGUUACCCGCAACUAGACGGAAAGACCCCAUGGAGCUUUACUGCAGCCUGAUAUUGAAUUCUGGUCAUACAUGUACAGGAUAGGUGGGAGACAAAGAGACGUGCACGCCAGUGUACGAGGAGUCGUCGUUGGGAUACCACUCUUGUGUGACCGGGGUUCUAACCUGGUAUCGAGAACAGGUACGGGGAGAGUGUCAGGUGGGCAGUUUGACUGGGGCGGUCGCCUCCCAAAGAGUAACGGAGGCGCCCAAAGGUACGCUCAGAUUGGAUGGAAACCAAUCGACGAGUGCAAUUGCAGAAGCGUGCUUGACUGUGAGACUUACAAGUCGAACAGGGACGAAAGUCGGGAAUAGUGAUCCGGCGGUGCCGAAUGGAAGGGCCGUCGCUCAACGGAUAAAAGCUACCCUGGGGAUAACAGGCUGAUCUCGCCCAAGAGUUCACAUCGACGGCGAGGUUUGGCACCUCGAUGUCGGCUCAUCGCAUCCUG
rnacentral:rRNA from 1 species